GCAUUAAUCGAUGCCCCGGUAGCUUAGCGGUAGAGCUCCUGUAUGUGGUAAGCGGGAGCGCCUAUCAAUAACUACGAGAAGGUCGCAGGUUCGAAUCCUGCCGGUGACUA